rnacentral:rRNA from 1 species
UACGAAGGGGGCUAGCGUUGUUCGGAAUUACUGGGCGUAAAGCGCACGUAGGCGGACUAAUUAAGUCAGGGGUGAAAUCCCGGGGCUCAACCCCGGAACUGCCUUUGAUACUGCUAGUCUCGAGUCCGGAAGAGGUGAGUGGAAUUCCGAGUGUAGAGGUGAAAUUCGUAGAUAUUCGCAAGAACACCAGUGGCGAAGGCGGAGCUCACCUGGCCCGAGUACUGACGCUGAGGUGCGAAAGCGUGGGGAGCAAACAGG